UAUAAUUCUUUCUUAUAAUUCUUUCUUAUAAUUCUCACAUAUAACAAGUUCCAGUAUGAACUUAGGGGUGUUCCUUUACAGACAAUUCUUAUAACAAAUAUAGAAAGCUUCUAGACCGUUAUUAGCAUGUCAAUUAUUGCAACCGUUAAAGUACAUAAUUAUGUAUUAGAUAGCCUAUGUAACAAGGUGAAAUUGACUGAUUGUUUUAUCUUGUAAGAAUAGCCAAAUUGAAUUACACAAGAAUCUAAAAUGAAAUAAACCAGAAGCAAUGUUUAACUAUUUUGCCUACCUGUCUGAGUUGUUAAUAACCACUUACUACAGGAAAAGUUAUUUACGGACCGAGUUCUUGGACUCGAUAGUCCACGAAUGUAAUUUCAAAGCUAAAGCAUUCAUUUGCCGGCAAUAUCUAAUUUUAAACUAAAUAAACCAUUAACAUACAAUCUACUCAUUUUUACAUCAUACCAACUCGGUACAUAAAGUUAAAGCUUAAACCCUUGAGGUAAUUCAGGUUUACCGUGAAAAAAGCAAUUUUCCACCCUAAGCAAUAUUCAUGAAAAAUCUUUUUAUUAUAGAUAUAAGGCCGUCUCGGUACAAGCAACAUCUACUUUUCUUAUAAAAUGUAGAUACAUGUAAAUGCAUGGUGAACUUUGGAUAAAAUACUCGAGUAAGACAAUCAGUCCUGGAGUACACACUUCAGAUGAAUGGCCCAUAACCCUAAAUUCAAUUUACCGAGAAACAUUUUUGUAAGUUUAUAUCGUUAAAACACUCUAUGCGCAGCAGAAUGUUCUCCUAUUCCUUUAAAUACGCGCAGCGGCAUCUCUUUGAUGUAAAAACGGUUAUUCAAAUUUAAGCACCGAAGUUCUUUGAAGUGCCUAUUAGUUCUAGUAGUUAUGUAAUAAACAACAAGAUUUCCUAGAUGAAACCCAGAAAAAACAGUUUUUCAAAGCCUUUGAAGUCUGUAAAAUAACUCUAUAUCUUAUCUUUUUUAGAUAGUCCAUAGCUUGUGAUGUUUUAAUACUUAAGUCCUUAAAUAUUUCGUUUGCAUUUUUUUUCACAAAGUAAUAAAUUUUGAUGUUGCACGCGUAAAGCUAAAAGUAUUUGUUUAAGAGUCAGACAUUUUCUCAGUGUUAUUAAAGUUGCGUGGCUUUGUUUCAUACAAAAUUAUUUUGUCAAAUGAAUCGGAUACCGUAAUUUGAAUUAUUCUUACACAUUAAGUUCUGGAGUUUAUAGAAUAAAGAAGACAAAACACAUCGCAAGAAGGCACAACAGGUUGAAGGACAAGACUGGAAAGAAGUUAAGAGCUAGGGAUAUCUUUAUAAUGCUGCAGCAAAGAAAAGUUGUUUUGUAGAAUUGUUUCCCAUCAUGAUCAUGUUUAAUUAAAUUAUUGUUUGUUUCUCUCAUUAUUUCUUAUUUCGUGAUACUGAUUGAAUAAUAAUCAAAAUAAAGUUCUAUAAACAAGU